GGGGACGCGCGGGUUCGACAGGAGCGUUCCGGAGAGGAUUGCAGGCCGAGGUGUCAUCGCACUCGUUAAACCGGUGGCAGUCAUUAACUGACAAUCGUGAAUUUGCACUAGCCGCUUAAAUAGUGGCUACGUCUGCUCCCAGUUAUUCCCGGAGGCAGGGAUGCAGGCGCCAUACGUUCGGGAUGCGGCUCGCCAGAUGCCGAUAAGGUGGGCUCAAGUCAAUCGGCUGGUCUCUCGAGGACUUCGUCGGUGGUGGCUUCGAGGGACGAGAACAAGCCACCGAAUAAGCUUGUAGUAUAUCCACUUACGGUGCCUUCUGGACGGGGAGUUCAACUCUCCCCCGUCUCCACCA
rnacentral:tmRNA from 1 species